rnacentral:rRNA from 1 species
UACUGCACAAUGGGGGAAACCCUGAUGCAGCGACGCCGCGUGAGUGAAGAAGUAUCUCGGUACGUAAAGCUCUAUCAUCAGGGAAGAANNUGACGGUACCUGACUAAGAAGCCCCGGCUAACUACGUGCCAGCAGCCGCGGUAAUACGUAGGGGGCAAGCGUUAUCCUGAUUUACUGGGUGGAAAGGGAGCGUAGACGGCAGCGCAAGUUGGGAGUGAAAUGCCGGGGCCCAACACCGGAACUGCUUUGGAAACUGUGCAGCUCGAGUGCAGGAGAGGUAAGCGGAAUUCCUAGUGUAGCGGUGAAAUGCGUAGAUAUUAGGAGGAACACCAGUGGCGAAGGCGGCUUACUGGACUGUAACUGACGUUGAGGCUCGAAAGCGUGGGGAGCA